AACGAACGCUGGCGGCAUGCCUAACACAUGCAAGUCGAACGAGACCUUCGGGUCUAGUGGCGUACGGGUGCGUAACGCGUGGGAACCUGACCUUAGGUUCGGAAUAACUCCCCGACAGGGGUGAUAAUACCGGAUAAUGUCUUCGGACCAAAGAUUUAUCGCCUUUGGAUGGGCCCGCGUUGGAUUAGCUAGUUGGUAGGGUAAAAGCCUACCAAGGCGACGAUCCAUAGCUGGUCUGAGAGGAUGAUCAGCCACACUGGGACUGAGACACGGCCCAGACUCCUACGGGAGGCAGCAGUGGGGAAUAUUGGACAAUGGGCGAAAGCCUGAUCCAGCAAUGCCGCGUGAGUGAUGAAGGCCUUAGAGUUGUAAAGCGCUUUUACCCGGGAUGAUAAUGACAGUACCGGGAGAAUAAGCUCCGGCUAACUCCGUG
rnacentral:rRNA from 1 species